ensembl:lncRNA
AUGGCUGCUCCAGUGUAUCUGGGUGAGGGUUCGCAGGUUCGUGGUGGAGAUCCAUACUUCACAGAGAUCAUCAGCAAGAGGAUGCGAGUACCAGAUCGCCUGAGUGUCGGCCAUGGAAUCCUGGCUGAGGAACAGAGGCCUGAGGAUCUACUUCCUGUCUACAGCAUGCAUGUACCAGACAGACUGGCCUUAACAGAUGCUCCUGACCUCAGUCCACGGCCACUGUUCUCCAAGCAAAGUGCCUCGUCAAUGUGGGAUCUGCAGCGUGGAACGUGGGGUAAGGAGGCAUACACGCGAGAGCCCGUUCAGAGUCCGCUACGCAGAUCGUAUAGUGACCAGACAUUCGGUAGAACCCCACCUGGAACCCCCACACACUCCAAACAAGCACUACAUUCUCCUUCUAUUAGCCGCUGUGCUGGAAGAGCGCCCCCUGUAGACCCAGAUAUGCCCCUGCCUGAUCCCCUGCAGUUCCCCAACAGCCCACCCAGCCUACUGUGCCCACAGAGCAUGCUCCAGGCGGCCAGGCAGCUGGGCCAGCAGGCAUCAAAGAAAAUCCUCCAGACUGUCUCUCAAAAAUACUCUUCCAGGUUCGGUUUCCAAGAAAACCCUCCACCUCAGCCAGAGAUCCACACUGAUCAGACCAGGAAAAGGUGAUAGAGGCUUCUUCUGGUUCUGUUUGUUGAUGCUUGAAUGAAUUAACUUGAUGAAUUUAGAGGAGCUUGCAUUUUGUUUUAAUGUAGCUGAUCGAACAAGACAUGUUUGUUGUCUGAGGUUUGCUUCUUUAGCUGUGAGGCUAAUGUGGCUAAGAAGCUAAGAAGCUAAAAAGCCACCGGUUAACAUGGUGGAAGCUGCAUACCUUCACAUUGGAGUGCCUGAAACGUUCUGAAAAAAGUAAGCUGCAUGACUUAAACAGUAGUAUGGCUGCUUACAAGCAUGAUUAAUACUAGAAAAAAUGAAUGUGGCUGAAAUUAUUUUCUCCUUUUUUUGAUUUUCAAACAGUGAUGCCUGGUUGAAUAUCAUUUAAAUCAUUUAGGUUUAUUUUUGUGAUUUUAAUUUUAAAUUGAUUUUAGCAGCAUUUUCUAAUUUAAUGGCCAAAUUGUGUGCUUUGAAUGAAGAGUUUGUGUAUGAGAGUGCCAUGUUGGUUCUUCUGUUGGUUUUCUAGAUUUCAGAGAUGUGAAGCUUUUCUUAGUGUCUGUUGAACUCUUAAGCACCCAUUGCUCCGUCAUCCACCAUCUCUUAUCUCUUAUGGUGGUGAGAUUGUCAUAUUGAUGUGUGUUGUGUGGUCUGCUAGUCAUGAAAGGAAGUUGAAUUGGAGCAGUGCAGUAAUUAACAUUAAGAGUAAUGCAUAUGUGAAAGAGCUCUGACCUGAACUAAAGUGUCUCUCCGAUGCUGUUUGCUCGUCUCAGCACUGUGCAGGAGUCCUGGCUCAGUCCUGAAGAAGAGACGGGAACUGCAGUUGAGUUCAUCGUGCUUCGCAGACAGGUCAGUUCAUACAGCUUUACUUAGACUGUUCUGAUCAUCACUGUCUCACAAAAACCUUGUAUCUGAUUAAAGU